CGCCAAUGUAGGCUGAACUGCAAACAAACGCCUGAAGCUUCUUUCUCGACA
rnacentral:sRNA from 1 species